rnacentral:rRNA from 1 species
GACGAACGCUGGCGGCGUGCUUAACACAUGCAAGUCGAACGGAAAGGCCCCCACCUUGGUGGGGGUGCUCGAGUGGCGAACGGGUGAGUAACACGUGGGUGAUCUGCCCUGUACUUCGGGAUAAGCUUGGGAAACUGGGUCUAAUACCGGAUAGGACCAUGGUUUAGUGUCUCAUGGUGGAAAAAUUAUUGUUUUGGUGCAGGAUGAGCUCGCGGCCUAUCAGCUUGUUGGUGGGGUAAUGGCCUACCAAGGCGUCGACGGGUAGCCGGCCUGAGAGGGUGGACGGCCACAUUGGGACUGAGAUACGGCCCAGACUCCUACGGGAGGCAGCAGUGGGGAAUAUUGCACAAUGGGCGCAAGCCGGAUGCAGCGACGCCGCGUGGGGGAUGACGGCCGUCGGGUGGUAAACUCCUUUCGUUAGGGACGAAGCCACACCUUUUUGGGGUGUGGUGACGGUACCUUUGUUAAGAAGCACCGGCUAACUACGUG